CCUACGUGUGGCUGCAGUGGGGAAUAUUGCACAAUGGGGGAAACCCUGAUGCAGCGACGCCGCGUGAGUGAAGAAGUAUCUCGGUACGUAAAGCUCUAUCAGCAGGGAAGAAAAAGACGGUACCUGGCUAAGAAGCACCGGCUCACUACGUGCCAGCAGCGGCGGUAAUAAGUAGGGGGCAAGAGUUAUCCGGAUUUACUGGGUGUAAAGGGAGCGUAGACGGCAGCACAAGUCUGGAGUGAAAUGCCGGGGCUUAACCCCGGUACUGCUUUGGAAACUGUGCGGCUUGAGUGCAGGAGGGGUAAGCGGAAUUCCGAGUGUAGCGGUGAAAUGCGUAGAUAUUAGGAGGAACACCGGUGGCGAAGGCGGCUCACUGGACUGUAACUGACGUUGAGGCUCGAAAGCGUGGGGAGCAAACAGGAUUAGAUACCCCAGUAGUC
rnacentral:rRNA from 1 species